GUGAGCAAGUCAUGUAUAAAGCAAAAACAAAAUAUUGGUCUGCUAUCAAAUGGUACAUUUAUUUGAACUCUAAGGGCAGGUUCAGGGUCUCAUGAAGAGGGCAUGUGUUUGUAUUAGAUCAGAAGGUUUUGCAGUUGACAAGCUUACAGGUUUGAGCACCCC